rnacentral:rRNA from 1 species
GACGAACGCUGGCGGCGUGCUUAACACAUGCAAGUUGAACGGGCGUACACGGAAGCUUGCUGAAGUGUAUGUUAGUAGCGGACGGGUGAGUAAUGCAUGAGGAUCUGCCCGUGGGAGGGGGACAACAGCUGGAAACGGCUGCUAAUACCCCGUAUGCCGAGAGGUGAGAGGUAUGGAGACAUACCGCCCAUGGAGGGACUCAUGUCCUAUCAGCUGGUUGGUGAGGUAACGGCUCACCAAGGCGACGACGGGUAGCCGGCCUGAGAGGGCGACCGGCCACACUGGAACUGAGAGACGGUCCAGACUCCUACGGGAGGCAGCAGUGGGGAAUAUUGGGCAAUGGGGGCAACCCUGACCCAGCGACGCCGCGUGAGGGAAGAAGGCCUUAGGGUCGUAAACCGCUUUUGUACGGGAAGAAGAGAUGACGGUACCGUGCGAAUAAGUCCCGGCUAACUACGUGCCAGCAGCCGCGUAAUGUAUCGUACG